GUUGCAUGUCUUUGUUCAAGUUUGUUUGCUAUUGUUGUACGUUUUUAAAAUCGUGAUUAAUACAUAGUAAACAACAUUAUAGGUUGUUUAUUAAUUUCAAAUACACAGAGUUUUUUCCUGAAAUAAAUAUGAUCAGAUAGUAGACAUUGAUUUGAUAACUUUAAACUGAAAUAUAUAGUUAUUUAAUUUAAAAUCAAACCUACAAAAAUUGUAAAGAGAUACAGAAGGCACUGACUUAUUUGGUGUUUUUAAGAACAAAUGUGAAAAUGUGAUUGAUAAAAUUAUUAUUUAUACACUAUGUAUGUUACACACAUAUGUAUGUUUAUAAAUAUAUGUAUAUGAUUGUUUGUGUAUGUAAGUAUAUUUCUCCUAAAUCCCUCACUUCAGUCUUAUUUCUUCUAUAAUCUAGUGUUGAGAGGUGAACGUUCAUAAUAUAUCCAUCGUUGUAACCAAAAUCUCUGAUUGUAAUUAAUCCACAUAUUAUUUCUUUGUUUUAUAGUAGAUUAACAGAAAAAAAAUUCAAAUAAAUUAGAUUAUUCCCU
rnacentral:lncRNA from 1 species